UGAUGAUGUGCAUGUGAACUUCACGU
rnacentral:piRNA from 1 species